rnacentral:rRNA from 1 species
UUAGGAAUUUUGCGCAAUGGGGGAAACCCUGACGCAGCAACGCCGCGUGAGUGAAGAAGGCCUUCGGGUUGUAAAGCUCUUUUAGCAGGGACGAAUAAUGACGGUACCUGCAGAAACAGCACCGGCUAACUCCGUGCCAGCAGCCGCGGUAAUACGGAGGGUGCAAGCGUUAUUCGGAAUUACUGGGCGUAAAGCGCGUGUAGGCGGUUUACUAAGUCUGGUGUGAAAUCCCUGAACUCAAUUCAGGAAGUGCACUGGAUACUGGAAGACUAGAGUGUGGGAGAGGUAAGCGGAAUUCCUGGUGUAGAGGUGAAAUUCGUAGAUAUCAGGAGGAACAACAGAAGCGAAGGCGGCUUACUGGACCACAACUGACGCUGAGACGCGAAAGCGUGGGGAGCAA